UGGUCGUCUUCCUCGUGGCAGACCGCAGACUCCACCGGGUAGUGCAGCGGCGUACUGCUCGCCGUUCAUUGAUGCCUAGGCCAUCCAGGCCGUUCCCCUACCCCUACUUAAGCCUCCCUGGAGCUUCAGCCCCAUUUUCCCCCUCUUCCCCGACCUCCUGUAACCCUAGAUCGACCGAGCCGCCUCGACGCCAUUGCCGCCGGCGAGUUCCGUGCAGGCAAGCUCCGAGGAUCCUGUUUGCGUCAGUUUGUUCGCCUUGCUAUGCUGUUUCUCAGGGACCGGAUUUCUCGCUGUAUCUCGUAGCAACCAAUGAGAUCAGGUAUCAUCUUCUCCGACUCCGACCACACUCCGGUGACGUGUCCGACAGUUCCGAUGGUCACCUGCAUCGAGCUGCUGGCCUGCUGCCCUGAACUGAACGCCAUCGUCAACCUGCUGCCAACGACAUUGACCACCGGAGCCUCUUCCUCCUUGGUUGACUUUUGCAUUGGGUUUAUGGUGAUGAGGAGGGUGUGAAUUGUGAGAACGACAAUUCACUGUACCAGCAGGGUGAUAAAGGCUUGCGAGACCAAGGGACUAUAAACAGCCAUGGAAUUUCAGCAUCAAGCUAGUGCGGGUGUACCUCGGCAGCUCGCUCGAUGACAUGCCGCCAAGCUGCAGUGCCUUCUCCUCACCUCAUGUGCAUCAGUGUCGAUGAGCUCCACCGCUUACCACCCUCUAAAGAUGCCCGUGGCCGCAGACGUCCUGGCAGAGAAGAAGAUAUGGACCAGAUGCUGGCUAGGUUUGCUUCUGUGGCGCUGGUGCUAACUGGACUGCUGCCGGUAUUACAAUGUCUAGACAGCUGCCAGUAUUACAAAGUUUCUUAUUCCUAGAGAAGUUAUCAAGGUAGCUUGCUUGGCGUUAGGCAUUUUAAACCGUUGAGAACAAAUGAUGCGGAACUAAGCCAUUGAUCUCCGUGAAUGUGAAUUACUGGGAUAAUUUUAGGAACUUCUCUUUGUUUCUGGAUAUAUGUCUACACCAAUUUUCACUUGGGUAGUCAAAUUUUUAGAUUGGUUCAUGUUGAUGGACUCAGUUUAUAAGAGGUACAGUGCUUGUUGUUAUAUUCUAAAUAUUGCUUGGUUGGCUGCUUAACCGUUGCAUCGUGGCAGUAAAUAUUGCUCAAUUGUUGUGGACAGUUGAGAAAACACGUUUACCAGCUUGCGGUGAUCGUGUAUGACAGUAUGAGGGUGUGCGCAUACUCUGGCUCAUGAGUUAGGGGGUCCAUGCCUCCAACGCUGGCACCAGCGGCAAAUAUAUCUCUCAAGGUCGAGAAACCUGAGCACGGACGGCCUCCUGGAGCAGCUUCCCAUGCUGCUAUAGUUGCUCUUCUAGCUCAUCAGCUGCUAUAUUUUGCAAAGAAUCAAAAUUAAUUUCCGCAUGUGAUGCUUAUAGAUUAGGUUAUUUGUGGUGUUCUCUUGUCUUCAUGGAGUAACACAGGUGGUUGCUAUGGCUGAUCUCAAAUGGAACUUAGGAGGAUCGUGGCCGACGCCAUCAUAGAGAAGGGCAAGUACAUCGAGCCAAGGUAAACUGCCCGCCAGCCACCCCGAAUGUAUCCGGCUCAACAACUACUAUAUCUCCCAGAAGUUCUAUCUUAACAUCUUCACCUCCGGCUGUGUUGAUUCUGGCCUUAUCUGCCGCCUCACAACCUGUAUGCUGCCACCAUCAUGAGAUCAGGUGCUUGGGGAUGAAUCUCAACAUCGCUGUUGAUCUACAUGUCUGUUUCCCUCUCUCUGUUUUUUUUUAUGUGUGUGU